GACGAACGCUGGCGGCGUGCUUAACACAUGCAAGUCGAACGGAAAGGCCCUGCUUUUGUUGGGUGCUCGAGUGGCGAACGGGUGAGUAACCCGUGAGUAACCUGCCCUUGACUUUGGGAUAACUUCAGGAAACUGGGGCUAAUACCGGAUAGGAGCUCCUGCUGCAUGGUGGGGGUUGGAAAGUUUCGGCGGUUGGGGAUGGACUCGCGGCUUAUCAGCUUGUUGGUGGGGUAGUGGCUUACCAAGGCUUUGACGGGUAGCCGGCCUGAGAGGGUGACCGGCCACAUUGGGACUGAGAGACGGCCCAGACUCCUACGGGAGGCAGCAGGGGGGAAUAUUGCACAAUGGGCGGAAGCCUGAUGCAGCAACGCCGCGUGCGGGAUGACGGCCUUCGGGUUGUAAACCGCUUUCGCCUGUGACGAAGCGGGAGUGACGGUAAUGGGUAAAGAAGCACCGGCUAACUACGUG
rnacentral:rRNA from 1 species